GAUGAAGAACGCAGCGAAAUGCGAUAAGUAAUGUGAAUUGCAGAAUUCAGUGAAUCAUCGAAUCUUUGAACGCACAUUGCGCCCGCCAGCAUUCUGGCGGGCAUGCCUGUUCGAGCGUCAUUUCAACCCUCGAGCCCCCCCGGGGGCCUCGGUGUUGGGGGACGGAACACCAGCCGCCCCCGAAAUGCAGUGGCGACCCCGCCGCAGCCUCCCCUGCGUAGUAGCACACACCUCGCACCGGAGCGCGGAGGCGGUCACGCCGUAAAACGCCCAACUUUCUUAGAGUUGACCUCGGAUCAGGUAGGAAUACCCGCUGAACUUAAGCAUAUCAAUAAGCGGAGGA
rnacentral:misc_RNA from 1 species